rnacentral:rRNA from 1 species
AAAUUGAAGAGUUUGAUCAUGGCUCAGAUUGAACGCUGGCGGCAGGCUUAACACAUGCAAGUCGAACGGUAACAGGAAGCAGCUUGCUGCUUUGCUGACGAGUGGCGGACGGGUGAGUAAUGUCUGGGAAACUGCCUGAUGGAGGGGGAUAACUACUGGAAACGGUGGCUAAUACCGCAUAACGUCGCAAGACCAAAGAGGGGGACCUUCGGGCCUCUUGCCAUCAGAUGUGCCCAGAUGGGAUUAGCUUGUUGGUGAGGUAACGGCUCACCAAG